rnacentral:rRNA from 1 species
AGUGGGGAAUAUUGGACAAUGGGGGCAACCCUGAUCCAGCCAUGCCGCGUGAGUGAUGAAGGCCCUAGGGUUGUAAAGCUCUUUUGUGCGGGAAGAUAAUGACGGUACCGCAAGAAUAAGCCCCGGCUAACUUCGUGCCAGCAGCCGCGGUAAUACGAAGGGGGCUAGCGUUGCUCGGAAUCACUGGGCGUAAAGGGUGCGUAGGCGGGUCUUUAAGUCAGGGGUGAAAUCCUGGAGCUCAACUCCAGAACUGCCUUUGAUACUGAAGAUCUUGAGUCCGGGAGAGGUGAGUGGAACUGCGAGUGUAGAGGUGAAAUUCGUAGAUAUUCGCAAGAACACCAGUGGCGAAGGCGGCUCACUGGCCCGGUACUGACGCUGAGGCACGAAAGCGUGGGGAGCAAA